AUUGAACGCUGGCGGCAUGCCUUACACAUGCAAGUCGAACGGUAACAGGUUAAGCUGACGAGUGGCGAACGGGUGAGUAAUACAUCGGAACGUGCCCAGUAGUGGGGGAUAGCCCGGCGAAAGCCGGAUUAAUACCGCAUACGACCUAAGGGUGAAAGGGGGGGAUCGCAAGACCUCUCGCUAUUGGAGCGGCCGAUGUCAGAGUUAGGUAGUUGGUGGGGUAAAGGCCCACCAAGCCGACGAUCUGUAGCUGGUCUGAGAGGACGACCAGCCACACUGGGACUGAGACACGGCCCAGACUCCUACGGGAGGCAGCAGUGGGGAAUUUUGGACAAUGGGCGCAAGCCUGAUCCAGCCAUGCCGCGUGCGGGAAGAAGGCCUUCGGGUUGUAAACCGCUUUUGUCAGGGAAGAAAUCCUUUGGGUUAAUACCUCGGGGGGAUGACGGUACCUGAAGAAUAAGCACCGGCUAACUACGUGCCAGCCGCCGCCGUAAUAC
rnacentral:rRNA from 1 species